AUUGAACGCUGGCGGCAGGCUUAACACAUGCAAGUCGAGCGGGGUGAGGUGCUUCGGUACUGAUCCUAGCGGCGGACGGGUGAGUAAUGCUUAGGAAUCUGCCAUUUAGUGGGGGACAACAUUCCGAAAGGGAUGCUAAUACCGCAUACGUCCUACGGGAGAAAGCAGGGGAUCUUCGGACCUUGCGCUAAAUGAUGAGCCUAAGUCGGAUUAGCUAGUUGGUGGGGUAAAGGCCUACCAAGGCGACGAUCUGUAGCGGGUCUGAGAGGAUGGGCCGCCACACUGGGACUGAGGCACGGCCCAGACUCCUACGGGAGGCAGCAGUGGGGAAAAUUGGACAAUGGGCGGAAGCCUGAUCCAGCCAUGCCGCGUGUGUGAAGAAGGCCUUUUGGUUGUAAAGCACUUUAAGCGAGGAGGAGGCUACCUGGAUUAAUACUCUGGGAUAGUGGACGUUACUCGCAGAAUAAGCACCGGCUAACUCUGUGCCAGCAGCCGCAGUAAAAC
rnacentral:rRNA from 1 species